GCCAGAGUGUUGGAAUUGGCAGACAAGCACGCUUCAGAAGCGUGUGCUCGCAAGAGCGUGAGAGUUCAAAUCUCUCCUCUGGCACCA
rnacentral:tRNA from 1 species